rnacentral:misc_RNA from 1 species
CUAAUGUUAUGCUAAUAUUAGGGCUUUCAUAUAUAUUUCCCAUUACAUGUAGACUUCCAUGGCAACAUACUUAGACUGACACAAGGGACAAAAACUAAGCUUACUUGCACAAUCUUUACAUAGGCAGAGAUGCUUACAAGGUAUCAGAAGCAUGCAGACCUCAUUGACUCUGCAAACCUUACAAGUCAUCAAUUCUUUCAUGUCAUUGUUCUCCUUAGAAAGCAGAUGAAAAUCAAUGGCACGGCCAUUACAGCAUGAAGCCGUAUCAUCCACCUCACUGUCACCACACCCUUCUUUACUAUCUCUACUUUGAGCAUAGACUUGUUGAAGAUUAAACUUGAGGGCAUUUAUCACAUUUUCAUUAUAUCUAGCACGUUGCUGCCAAGCACCUGCUUCCACAGAUAAUUGUUCCAUUCGUUCCUCAAGUUCCAUAUUCCUCUUGUUAAUGCUCUCUACCUCUGCUUCUUUUUCACGAAGCUUUUGAAGAACUUUUUCUUCCACAAGUGAGAUAGUUUGAAGUUGGUUAGCCCGAACCUUCUCUAGGAUAGUUUGCCGCAAUCGGUCACCCUGAACUUUGAGGAAUCUAUCAAUUUCUGCAUCUUGUCGCUGAAAUUCCCCGUCAAUAUCAUCACCAAUUAGUGAAAUCAAAGUGGAGUCACCAGAAGAUGAAACACGGGUAUUGUCAAGCGAUAAGCCUAACCCAGUUGAAACCGAUCGUGCUUGCAAGAAAUCAACCGAUGAAAUUUGUGAAUUAUUCUCCAAAAAAUCUUGCUCCUUCAACUUCUUUCUCUUGGGUUCCAGCCCAUAAUUCCAUUGCAAAUCAACUCCCCCAUCACUGCCAUCAGCCACGGGAACGGGACCCGGUGCAAACCCCACUACAUGAACAAGGAGAUGGUAUGUAGGGAGGAUGCUGAGAGUGAUCUUGCAAAUUAGCUGGGCU